rnacentral:rRNA from 1 species
CCCUUAGAUGUUCUGGGCCGCACGCGCGCUACACUGAAAGAAUCAACGUGUUUGAGGGCACCUGACCUGAGAGGGUUGGGCAAUCCGUUGAACCUCUUUCGUGCUAGGGAUUGGGGCUUGUAAUUCUUCCCCAUGAACGAGGAAUUCCCAGUAAGCGCGAGUCAUCAGCUCGUGUUGAUUACGUCCCUGCCCUUUGUACACACCGCCCGUCGCUACUACCGAUUGGAUGGCUUAGUGAGACCUUUGGACUGGACCGCCUUCCGGGGGUUUCGGCCCCUUUUGGCGAGGCUGGGAAGAAGGUCGAACUGGACUGUCUAGAGGAAGUAAAAGUCGUAACA